CGCGUAGGCGGCAUGGCAAGUCAGGUGUGAAAGCCCCGGGCUUAACUCGGGAACUGCAUCUGAAACUGCUUUGCUUGAGUCCUGGAGGGGGUAGUGGAAUUCCCAGUGUAGCGGUGAAAUGCGUAGAUAUUGGGAGGAACACCGGUGGCGAAGGCGGCUACCUGGACAGUGACUGACGCUGAGGCGCGAAAGCUAGGGGAGCGAACGGGAUUAGAUACCCCGGUAGUCCUAGCUGUAAACGAUGGGCACUUGGUGUCGGGGGUAUUGAGUCCCUCGGUGCCGGAGUUAACACGUUAAGUGCCCCGCCUGGGGAGUACGGUCGCAAGACUGAA
rnacentral:rRNA from 1 species